rnacentral:rRNA from 1 species
GGAAUCUUCCACAAUGGGCGAAAGCCUGAUGGAGCAACGCCGCGUGUGUGAUGAAGGCUUUCGGGUCGUAAAGCACUGUUGUAUGGGAAGAACAGCUAGAAUAGGAAAUGAUUUUAGUUUGACGGUACCAUACCAGAAAGGGACGGCUAAAUACGUGCCAC